GGCCCGGUUGGACUGAUUGGAAUAACCGGAGUGAUCGGACAACCUGGAGAAAAGGGUGAUCGAGGUCCUCCUGGUCCUUUGGGUCCUCCAGGAGAGAAAGGUUCAACAGGGUAUCCGGGUCUUCCAGGAGGUCCUGGGGAUUUCGGCCCGCAAGGUCCACCAGGUCCACAAGGGCCGAGAGGGGCAGCAGGCAUUUCCGGGCCGAAAGGACGAAGGG